rnacentral:rRNA from 1 species
AGCGAACGCUGGCGGCAGGCCUAACACAUGCAAGUCGAACGAACCUUUCGGGGUUAGUGGCGGACGGGUGAGUAACACGUGGGAACGUGCCUUUAGGUUCGGAAUAACUCAGGGAAACUUGUGCUAAUACCGAAUGUGCCCUUCGGGGGAAAGAUUUAUCGCCUUUAGAGCGGCCCGCGUCUGAUUAGCUAGUUGGUUGAGGUAAUGGCUCACCAAGGCGACGAUCAGUAGCUGGUCUGAGAGGAUGAUCAGCCACAUUGGGACUGAGACACGGCCCAAACUCCGACGGGAGGCAGCAGUGGGGAAUCUUGCGCAAUGGGCGAAAGCCUGACGCAGCCAUGCCGCGUGAAUGAUGAAGGUCUUAGGAUUGUAAAAUUCUUUCACCGGGGACGAUAAUGACGGGACCCGGAGAAGAAGCCCCGGCUAACUGCGU